AAAAUAUUAAGCAACGACUAACAUUGAAGAGUGCUAAUGAAAGUAAAUUCGAACUUACGAUCAUGGCUUAACAAACUAAUAGAAAACAUAAAAUUAAAACUAAAACUUAUACUCACAUAAUAAAUUAAAUAAAAUAAAAACAGAAAUUCUGAAAGAAAAAAAAAAGAAAGGAAAAAGAUUAGGAUGUAAACUUAUACCAAAAUCCGGGACAUCCGACGUCAAAUCGAACAACGAGACAAUGCCAAAAUACAAAGUGGUGGUCGUCCGCCCCGAAAGCAUCUAAUUCUCUUCAGAAAGUGCUAAGCCAAAUAGAUUUUGGCGUUUUUCCAAAAGAAAAUAAAUGCCUUUGGAUUAAAAAAUAAAAAUAAAAUAAAAGACGGGGAAAUACGCGGUGGUGAGGUCGCGGCCUGUGGUGGUGAGAUUUUUUUUGGGGGGGAGUGAAAUGGUUAGGAAAGGGUAGACUCAAGGAGAUCUAUCGUUUAUGUAUGUGUUGUAAGAUGGUGGUGGCCGGAACUUUACGAAUUUGGGCAAAAAAAUAAUGGAAAAGCUUUCUAGAUCUAAGAUUCAAGGAGUUCGAGAGUUUUUUGAAAGAUUUGGUUUGGAGAUAUGGAAAGAGGAGGUGGUGGAGAUUACAUGGUGAAAUUUUGGGGUGGAUUGGAGGUAGGCCGCCAUCGAUGGGUGAUUUCUGGCAGCGGCUCGGGGAGAGAGAAGAAAGAGUGAUGAGAGGGAAAGAAGAGGGAGGAAAUAAGGG
rnacentral:lncRNA from 1 species